AGGGUUUGAUUCUGGCUCAGGACGAACGCUGGCGGCGCGCCUAACACAUGCAAGUCGAACGAGAGAGAGGGAGCUUGCUCCCUUGAUCGAGUGGCGAACGGGUGAGUAACGCGUGAGGAACCUGCCUCAAAGAGGGGGACAACAGUUGGAAACGACUGCUAAUACCGCAUAAGCCCACGGCUCGGCAUCGAGCAGGGGGAAAAGGAGCAAUCCGCUUUGAGAUGGCCUCGCGUCCGAUUAGCUGGUUGGUGAGGUAACGGCCCACCAAGGCAACGAUCGGUAGCCGGACUGAGAGGUUGAACGGCCACAUUGGGACUGAGACACGGCCCAG
rnacentral:rRNA from 1 species